rnacentral:rRNA from 1 species
AUUGAACGCUGGCGGCAUGCUUUACACAUGCAAGUCGAACGGCAGCGCGGGCUUCGGCCUGGCGGCGAGUGGCGAACGGGUGAGUAAUGCAUCGGAACGUGCCCAGUAGUGGGGGAUAGCCCGGCGAAAGCCGGAUUAAUACCGCAUACGACCUGAGGGUGAAAGCGGGGGACCGAAAGGCCGCGCGCUAUUGGAGCGGCCGAUGUCGGAUUAGCUAGUUGGUGGGGGAAAGGCUUACCAAGGCGACGAUCCGUAGCUGGUCUGAGAGGACGGCCAGCCACCCUGGGACUGAGACACGGCCCAGACUCCUACGGGAGGCAGCAGUGGGGAAUUUUGGACAAUGGGGGCAAACCUGAUCCAGCCAUGCCGCGUGCGGGAAGAAGGCCUUCGGGUUGUAAACCGCUUUUGUUCGGGAAGAAAUCCUCUGGGCUAAUACCCCGGGGGGAUGACGGUACCGGAAGAAUAAGCACCGGCUAACUACGUG